rnacentral:lncRNA from 1 species
CACUGUGCAAUGAACCGUGAAAAUGAGGUCACGGUCAAAUAAAACCUGUGCGACUGACAUAAAGAUCAUAAAAUAUUUCCAUACACCAAAUAUAGUUGACCUAUGGCAUAUAGUAUUAGAUAAAAAGACCAAAACUCAAAAACUUAACUUUGACCACUGAACCAUGAAAAUGAGGUCAAGGUCACAUGACAUCUGCCUGUUAGACAUGUACACCUUACAAUCCUUCCAUACAACAAAUAUAGUAGACCUAUUGCAUAUAGUAUGAGAAAAACAGACCAAAACACAAAAAUUUAACUUUGACCACUGAACCAUGAAAUGAGGUCAAGGUCACAUGACAUCUGCCCGCUAGACAUGUACACCUUACAAUCGUUCCAUACAACAAAUAUAGUAGACCUAUUGCAUAUAGU